rnacentral:misc_RNA from 1 species
GAUGAAGAACGCAGCGAAAUGCGAUAAGUAGUGUGAAUUGCAGAAUUCAGUGAAUCAUCGAAUCUUUGAACGCACAUUGCGCCCCUUGGUAUCCCGAGGGGCAUGCCUGUUCGAGCGUCAUUUCACCACUCAAGCCUGGCUUGGUGUUGGGCGACGUCCCCUUUAGGGACGCGCCUCGAAACGCUCGGCGGCGCGGCACCGGCUUUAAGCGUAGCAGAAUCUUUCGCUUUGGAAGUCGGGGCCCCGCCUGCAGGAAUACCUACUUGUAAGGUUGACCUCGGAUCAGGCAGGGAUACCCGCUGAACUUAAGCAUAUCAAUAAGCGGAGGA